AUGAUGUCCAGAGAAGAUUUCUGCUUACAUGUGAAUGGUUCUACUGCUGUUCUAAGUGAUUUCUUGAAGUUCUUCCUAUUUUCCCAUAUCAUCUGCAAGCUGACCAAAUUAAUCCUUAUUUGUUUGCCAGGAGAUAAGGAAAAGGGGAGGGGAAAAACAGUAAUUCUAGCAACUGGCGUUUGUUCCGUACCAAAGCUCGGGAGUUCAUUCUAUUGUGUGCAUCAGAAGUCUAUACAUAUGAGUUGGCACUCGGAGAGUGACAUAGAUUUUCUUGAGGUUAUGAUUUUUUUAUCUACUAUUACUUGA
rnacentral:rRNA from 1 species